rnacentral:lncRNA from 1 species
CCCUGGUCGUAGUUUUUAAACUUAUCAAAUAUGAAAUGUAAUAUACAAACUCCUCGGGGAGGAAACGGGAACAGCCAAACAGUCUUAUGGUAUUUUCGUACCCUUCGACCUAUAAAUAUAUUGUAUUUGUCAUGUUAGAAUCGAAAUAAUUCCUUCAUGUCAUGCUCUAUGCUAAUUUUAACAUGGGUAGGCAAUAUAUUUGACCACAUUUU